GGCGGGACGGCCACCGCGGAAGCAGUGGUGUCCGGCUCCGGCUCGGUCACGGUGUCCGCGACGUCCUCUGCCGGUUCGGGUCGCGUCCGGUCGUCCGCCG
rnacentral:tRNA from 1 species